rnacentral:rRNA from 1 species
UACGGAGGGUGCAAACGUUGCUCGGAAUCAUUGGGCGUAAAGCGCACGUAGGCGGCGUGAUAAGUUGGGUGUGAAAGCCCUGGGCUCAACCCAGGAAGUGCAUUCAAAACUGUCACGCUUGAAUCUCGGAGGGGGUCAGAGAAUUCCCGGUGUAGAGGUGAAAUUCGUAGAUAUCGGGAGGAAUACCAGUGGCGAAGGCGGCUUUCUGGCCUGUUCUUGACGCUGAGGCGCGAAAGCUAGGGGAGCAAACGGGG